rnacentral:rRNA from 1 species
UACGUAGGGGGGCAAGCGUUGUCCGGAAUUAUUGGGCGUAAAGCGCGCGCAGGCGGCCUUGUAAGUCUGUUGUUUAAACUCGGGGCUCAAACCCCGAGUCGCAAUGGAAACUGCAAAGCUUGAGUACAGAAGAGGAAAGUGGAAUUCCACGUGUAGCGGUGAAAUGCGUAGAGAUGUGGAGGAACACCAGUGGCGAAGGCGACUUCUUGGCCUGUUCUUGACGCUGAGGCGCGAAAGCUGGGGGAGCAAACGGG